GGACAUGACGUGUGGCUGUCGUAAAAACCCUAUUUGUAAACAACCAGUCCUUUAACUCAGCGCUACGUCAUAAACACGGCGCGCUUGGAAGACCACGAUGUCAUCUUCCUUCUGUCAGGAGGAUCCAAGUGAAGCUACAGGAGUUUCAUUAACGUCAAUAACUUGGACCGAACAGUUUGUUUUGCUUGAUGAAGAGCAGGAAGGGCAGCCUGGAGAGAAAGAGAAGCCGGGUUGAGCCCACUACCAUCAUCCAUGUACCACAAGGAAGAUGAGGGAGAGAAAUGAUCCUACCAUUAAAGAGACUGUGAAAAGAACGUUGAGAACAUCACCACUCUACAGGAAGACACAGUCCAGUAAUGGGUGUCAGAAUUUCAGUAGUGAACGACAGGAAGGACUGAUGCAUUUACUGAGACGGGACGUGAGGGCCUACUCUGCGUGCUCAGAGUUCAAGCCCAGCAGGCUGCAGCGGUCCUGACAUAUUCCGGAACAGCAGCACAGUCUUUGGAUGACUCCUCUGAAGAUGAAAACAUGGCGAGUUCUUCUCAAGAGAAGCAGUACAGGUGUGCCUCAGCUCCACGGUCCCUCCUGCAACCUCCGCUCCUGAUGCUAACCUCAUGUCUCCAUCACACCAAGCAGCAGACCUGGAGUGACAGAACUUUCUCCAGAGCUGCCCCCUCCCUCUGAAACCCCCCUCUCCAAAACACUAUUUGUGGCGUUUUUAAAGUCUUAUUUGCAUGAGAAUUGUUGAUCAUAACAUUUCCAGCAGAUGCCUUAAUGUAAUGUUUGUGCACAAUAAAUGACAUUGAUCAUAA